rnacentral:rRNA from 1 species
UACGGGGGGGGCAAGCGUUGUUCGGAAUUACUGGGCGUAAAGGGCGCGUAGGCGGUUCGCUAAGUUGAAUGUGAAAACUCUGGGCUUAACCCAGAGCCUGCAUCCAAAACUGGCGAACUGGAGUACUGGAGGGGAAAGCGGAAUUCCUGGUGUAGCGGUGAAAUGCGUAGAUAUCAGGAGGAACACCGGUGGCGAAGGCGGCGUCCUGGACCAAUUCUGACACUGAGGAGCGAAAGCCAGGGGAGCAAACGGG